rnacentral:rRNA from 1 species
CCGGCACGGGUGAGUAACACGUAUCCAACCUGCCGUCUACUCUUGGACAGCCUUCUGAAAGGAAGAUUAAUACAAGAUGGCAUCAUGAGUCCGCAUGUUCACAUGAUUAAAGGUAUUCCGGUAGACGAUGGGGAUGCGUUCCAUUAGAUAGUAGGCGGGGUAACGGCCCACCUAGUCUUCGAUGAAUAGGGGUUCUGAGAGGAAGGUCCCCCACAUUGGAACUGAGACACGGUCCAA